CCCUUAGAUGUCCUGGGCUGCACGCGCGCUACACUGAUGUGUCCAGUAAGCACCUAACCUAUUCCGAGAGGAGCGGGUAACCUUAGCAAAGCACAUCGUGAUGGGGAUAGAUUAUUGCAAUUAUUAGUCUUGAACGAGGAAUUCCUAGUAAACGCGAGUCAUCAGCUCGCAUUGAUUACGUCCCUGCCCUUUGUACACACCGCCCGUCGCACCUACCGAUUGAAUGUUUCGGUGAAGAUUCCGGAUAGGACUUUUUUGAUUUAUUUCAAUUUUGUCUUAAAAGCUAUCUAAACCUCAACAUUUAGAGGAAGGUGAAGUCGUAACA
rnacentral:rRNA from 1 species